UACGGAGGGGGCUAGCGUUGCUCGGAAUUACUGGGCGUAAAGGGAGCGUAGGCGGACUGUUUAGUCAGAGGUGAAAGCCCAGGGCUCAACCUUGGAAUUGCCUUUGAUACUGGCAGUCUUGAGUACGGAAGAGGUAUGUGGAACUCCGAGUGUAGAGGUGAAAUUCGUAGAUAUUCGGAAGAACACCAGUGGCGAAGGCGACAUACUGGUCCGUUACUGACGCUGAGGCUCGAAAGCGUGGGGAGCAAACAGG
rnacentral:rRNA from 1 species